AUCUUGUUGAGCCUGAAUAUAGAGAGGAAAUCCUCAGCAUUGAAGGAGCGUGAAAUUGUAUGAAACUCCACAGUCCGCCAACCAAAUCAGAAGCUAAAAAGCCAAGAUUGGUUUUUAUGAAAUCAUCUCCUAAUUUUCUGUAGCUUAUUCCUGAAAUAUUAGUUAAGAAAACAAACAUACAGAUAUAUAUUGCAAUGAACACAAAAGGAGUAGAUUUACGACCUCAUACUGAGGUAAAUGGACCUCAUACUGAGGUAACAGGACCUCAAACUAAGGUAAGGGAAGGCUAAACCAAAGCCUAAAAGCCUCAUACUGAGGUAAUGGAGGAGAUUGGGACCUUGAAUUUAGUUCAGUGAGACUUGAAGUGCAACAGAACCCAACCAAUUCUGACUCUAUCAAAGGGGUCACAAAGACCGUAUCUUUCAAAACAAAUCCUAAGAGCAAAGGAGGGAAACUAGACUUUCUCCAGAGGAUAUAGUAGAACUGAACCCUGCAGACAGCAGUAUGGGGGAGCCAAGGCAUCACAAAGUUCACUCCUAAGGACACGAGCAACAAACAAGCUGAGCUAGAGGUCGUCGUACCAGAAACAGGAGGAGGCUCUGCAAUUUUGAGGGUGAAGGAGAACAGAUCUGGUGCACCAGAGUGGUCGGGAAGGACGGGAAGGUCCGGAGGAGCAAUCAUGGAUGCUAGAUCUAGAAGAAAAGUAACCGGCGGCGGCUCUGGAGGAGGAGGAAGGAGCAUAGGCGAACCGGAGAGACGUAGCACCAUGGAAGGAAAGAAGAGGAGAAAGAAAGGUAGGCGAACCGGAGAGACGUAGCACCAUGGAAGGAAAGAAGAGGAAGAAGAAAUAAAGAGGAGGAAGAAAGAAGAAGGUUCUCGUCGGUGAGCGAGAGGCCACACCGACGGCGGCGGAUCAAGUUAAAACCCUAAUCUGCCUCCAGAAGCUCUCCGUGAUGUUCAAAUCCAGAGUUUUAUGAUGAGACAAAUUCACUACAAAGAAACUAACCUGAAACACAUACAAAAUCACUCUUCCAUGUGAUCUUCAGUUCCAGAUUCUUCGACAUCAACAGAUAACGAAUACUCCUGGUCAUACCCCAAGUAAGAGUCGCUCAUGAAGUACAGUGUGUACAACUUUUCU
rnacentral:lncRNA from 1 species